GAUGAACGCUAGCGACAGGCUUAACACAUGCAAGUCGAGGGGCAGCACGGGAGUAGCAAUACAACUGGUGGCGACCGGCGCACAGGGGCGUCACGCGUAUGCAACCUACCUAUCAGAGGGGAAUAACCCGGUGAAAGUCGGACUAAUACCGCAUAAAACAGGGGCACCGCAUGGUGAUCGUUGUUAAAGAAAUUAGCUGAUAGAGGGGCAUGCGUUCCAUUUGGUAGUUGGGGAGGUAACGGCUCACAAAGCCGACGAUGGAUAGGGGAACUGAGAGGUUGGUCCCCCACACUGGUACUGAGACACGGACCAGACUCCUACGGGAGGCAGCAGUGAGGAAUAUUGGUCAAUGGGCGGGAGCCUGAACCAGCCAAGUCGCGUGAAGGAAGAAGGAUCUAUGGUUCGUAAACUUCUUUUGCAGGGGAAUAAAGUGCAGGACGUGUCCUGUUUUGUAUGUACCCUGAGAAUAAGGAUCGGCUAACUCCGUGCCAGCAGCCGCAGUAAAAC
rnacentral:rRNA from 1 species